AUCAGGCGAGGAGUGUAAUGUCUUUAACAUUGUUGUUUAAUGAGUUUUUGGAAGUGAGCCCUCUUUGGGGCGCUUUCAGUUCAACUAGUUAAAACGGUAGUUAUGGUACCUUAUGUUCUGAGCUGGAUAGCCAGUGAUCUUGGAUAUAGCCAGUAAUCUUGGAUACGUCUUGAGAGGACAGCACAGUUUAUUUACCAAUAAAUGUUCAACGAAUGAAAAGUGAACACGGUUAUACGACUGGAUUUCAAUAUUGUCUUUUAUUGUCGGGCCAGUACAA